UACGUAGGGGGCAAGCGUUGUCCGGAAUCAUUGGGCGUAAAGCGCGUGUAGGCGGCCAGAAAAGUCCGCUGUGAAAACUCGAGGCUCAACCUCGGCAGGUCGUUGGAAACCAUAUGGCUAGAGUCCGGAAGAGGAGAGUGGAAUUCCUGGUGUAGCGGUGAAAUGCGCAGAUAUCAGGAAGAACACCAAUGGCGGAAGGCAGCUCUCUGGGACGGUACUGACGCUGAGACGCGAAAGCGUGGGGAGCGAACAGG
rnacentral:rRNA from 1 species